ACUCCUACGGGAGGCAGCAGUGAGGAAUAUUGCGCAAUGGGGGCAACCCUGACGCAGCGACGCCGCGUGGAUGAUGAAGGCCUUCGGGUCGUAAAAUCCUGUCAGAUGGAAAGAAGUGCAUAUGUGCUAAUACCAUGUAUGUUUGACGGUACCAUCGAAGGAAGCACCGGCUAACUCCGUGCCAGCAGCCGCGGUAAUACGGAGGGUGCAAGCGU
rnacentral:rRNA from 1 species